CCUACGGGUGGCAGCAGUGGGGAAUAUUGCACAAUGGGCGCAAGCCUGAUGCAGCCACGCCGCGUGUGUGGAGAAGGCCUUCGGGUUGUAAAGCACUUUCAGCGAGGAGGAAGGUGGUGAGCUUAAUACGCUCAUCAAUUGACGUUACUCGCAGAAGAAGCACCGGCUAACUCCGUGCCAGCAGCCGCGGUAAUACGGAGGGUGCAAGCGUUAAUCGGAAUUACUGGGCGUAAAGCGCACGCAGGCGGUUUGUUAAGUCAGAUGUGAAAUCCCCGGGCUCAACCUGGGAACUGCAUUUGAAACUGGCAGGCUAGAGUCUUGUAGAGGGGGGUAGAAUUCCAGGUGUAGCGGUGAAAUGCGUAGAGAUCUGGAGGAGUACCGGUGGCGAAGGCGGCCCCCUGGACAAAGACUGACGCUCAGGUGCGAAAGCGUGGGGAGCAAACAGGAUUAGAUACCCCUGUAGUC
rnacentral:rRNA from 1 species